rnacentral:rRNA from 1 species
UACGAAGGGGGCUAGCGUUGCUCGGAAUCACUGGGCGUAAAGCGCACGUAGGCGGCUUUCUAAGUCAGGGGUGAAAUCCUGGAGCUCAACUCCAGAACUGCCUUUGAUACUGGGAAGCUCGAGUCCGGAAGAGGUGAGUGGAACUCCGAGUGUAGAGGUGAAAUUCGUAGAUAUUCGGAGGAACACCAGAAGCGAAGGCGGCCAACUGGCCCGAUACUGACGCUGAGGCGCGAAAGCGUGGGGAGCAAACAGG